GCCGUGGUGGCGGAAUUGGUAGACGCGUCGGUCUCAAAAACCGAUGGUGGCAACACCGUGUCGGUUCGAUCCCGACCCUCGGCA
rnacentral:tRNA from 1 species